rnacentral:rRNA from 1 species
UCCACGCCGUAAACGAUGAGUACUAGCUGUUGGUCCUGGUGUAAAAGGAUUAGUGGCGCAGCUAACGCAUUAAGUACUCCGCCUGGGGAUUACGGUCGCAAGACUAAAACUCAAAGGAAUUGACGGGGACCCGCACAAGCGGUGGAGCAUGUGGUUUAAUUCGAUGCAACGCGAAGAACCUUACCUCCCCUUGACAUACAGAGAACCUUACCAGAGAUGGUUCGGUGCCUUUC